CAGCAGCCGCGGUAAUACGUAGGGUGCGAGCGUUAAUCGGAAGUACUGGGCGUAAAGCGUGCGCAGGCGGUUAUGUAAGACAGUUGUGAAAUCCCCGGGCUCAACCUGGGAACUGCAUCUGUGACCGCAUAGCUAGAGUACGGUAGAGGGGGAUGGAAUUCCGCGUGUAGCAGUGAAAUGCGUAGAUAUGCGGAGGAACACCGAUGGCGAAGGCAAUCCCCUGGACCUGUACUGACGCUCAUGCACGAAAGCGUGGGGAGCAAACAGGAUUAGAUACCCCGGUAGUCCCUGUCUCUUAUAC
rnacentral:rRNA from 1 species